UAAUUUGUCUUUUUAUCAUUGAGUUGUAGAGAUUUUUAAAAUGUAUUUUGGAUACACAUUUAUUGUGAAAUAUAUGUUUACAAAUAUUUUCUCCUGUUUAUAGGUCCAGACCCUCUUGAAUUGAAGUUUGUCUUCCAGAUUCCACCCCGACCUCAGCCCUGCUAAAUCCUGGAAACUUACCUGGGAGAUGCUCCUUCCUGACUGUGUGUCCCUGAGCAAAUAAGUCAGUCUCUCUCAUCUUCCAAUUUCUCAUCUGCAAAGGGUCGGCAGUGACUCACUGGGUCAUUGUGAGGUGACUGUGAUCAUGUGAGAACACAGCAAGAAGAAGGCUGUCUGCAAGCUAGGAAGAGAGCCCUCACCAGGAACCAAAUUGACUGUCACUUUGGACUUCCCAGCCUCCAGAGCUGAUGUACCAGGUGCAAAUCAGCAUAACUAUGCCUAUUAAGCUCAGCCUCUUGGAUCCAACACAAAGGCCAUUCAAUGAAAUAUACAGAAGGAAAAAGAACCGGAUCUAC
rnacentral:lncRNA from 13 species